rnacentral:rRNA from 1 species
UAGGGAAUCUUCCGCAAUGGACGCAAGUCUGACGGAGCAACGCCGCGUGAGUGAAGAAGGAUUUCGGUUCGUAAAACUCUGUUGUUAGAGAAGAACAGCGCAUAGAGUAACUGUUAUGCGUGUGACGGUAUCUAACCAGAAAGCCACGGCUAACUACGUGCCAGCAGCCGCGGUAAUACGUAGGUGGCAAGCGUUGUCCGGAUUUAUUGGGCGUAAAGCGAGCGCAGGCGGUCAAUUAAGUCUGAUGUGAAAGCCCCCGGCUCAACCGGGGAGGGUCAUUGGAAACUGGUUGACUUGAGUGCAGAAGAGGAGAGUAGAAUUCCAUGUGUAGCGGUGAAAUGCGUAGAUAUAUGGAGGAACACCAGUGGCGAAGGCGAAUCUAUGGUCUGUAACUGACGCUGAGGCUCGAAAGCGUGGGUAGCAAACAGG